GAUGAACGCUGGCGGCGUGCCUAAUACAUGCAAGUCGAGCGAACGGACGAGAAGCUUGCUUCUCUGAUGUUAGCGGCGGACGGGUGAGUAACACGUGGAUAACCUACCUAUAAGACUGGGAUAACUUCGGGAAACCGGAGCUAAUACCGGAUAAUAUUUUGAACCGCAUGGUUCAAAAGUGAAAGACGGUCUUGCUGUCACUUAUAGAUGGAUCCGCGCUGCAUUAGCUAGUUGGUAAGGUAACGGCUUACCAAGGCAACGAUGCAUAGCCGACCUGAGAGGGUGAUCGGCCACACUGGAACUGAGACACGGUCCAGACUCCUACGGGAGGCAGCAGUAGGGAAUCUUCCGCAAUGGGCGAAAGCCUGACGGAGCAACGCCGCGUGAGGGAUGAAGGGCUUCGGAUCGUAAAACUCUGUUAUUAGGGAAGAACAUAUGUGUAAGUAACUGUGCACAUCUUGACGGUACCUAAUCAGAAAGCCACGGCUAACUACGUGC
rnacentral:rRNA from 1 species